UACCCUCUCCACAACUCAAAGUAAAGCCCUCA
rnacentral:piRNA from 1 species